rnacentral:rRNA from 1 species
GGGUUGUGAGGUUAAGCGACUAAGCGUACACGGUGGAUGCCCUGGCAGUCAGAGGCGAUGAAGGACGUGCUAAUCUGCGAUAAGCGUCGGUAAGGUGAUAUGAACCGUUAUAACCGGCGAUUUCCGAAUGGGGAAACCCAGUGUGAUUCGUCACACUAUCAUUAACUGAAUCCAUAGGUUAAUGAGGCGAACCGGGGGAACUGAAACAUCUAAGUACCCCGAGGAAAAGAAAUCAACCGAGAUUCCCCCAGUAGCGGCGAGCGAACGGGGAGGAGCCCAGAGCCUGAAUCAGUGUGUGUGUUAGUGGAAGCGUCUGGAAAGGCGCGCGAUACAGGGUGACAGCCCCGUACACAAAAAUGCACAUACUGUGAGCUCGAUGAGUAGGGCGGGACACGUGGUAUCCUGUCUGAAUAUGGGGGGACCAUCCUCCAAGGCUAAAUACUCCUGACUGACCGAUAGUGAACCAGUACCGUGAGGGAAAGGCGAAAAGAACCCCGGCGAGGGGAGUGAAAAAGAACCUGAAACCGUGUACGUACAAGCAGUGGGAGCACAGAGCAAUCUGUGUGACUGCGUACCUUUUGUAUAAUGGGUCAGCGACUUAUAUUCUGUAGCAAGGUUAACCGAAUAGGGGAGCCGAAGGGAAACCGAGUCUUAACUGGGCGUUAAGUUGCAGGGUAUAGACCCGAAACCCGGUGAUCUAGCCAUGGGCAGGUUGAAGGUUGGGUAACACUAACUGGAGGACCGAACCGACUAAUGUUGAAAAAUUAGCGGAUGACUUGUGGCUGGGGGUGAAAGGCCAAUCAAACCGGGAGAUAGCUGGUUCUCCCCGAAAGCUAUUUAGGUAGCGCCUCGUGAAUUCAUCUCCGGGGGUAGAGCACUGUUUCGGCAAGGGGGUCAUCCCGACUUACCAACCCGAUGCAAACUGCGAAUACCGGAGAAUGUUAUCACGGGAGACACACGGCGGGUGCUAACGUCCGUCGUGAAGAGGGAAACAACCCAGACCGCCAGCUAAGGUCCCAAAGUCAUGGUUAAGUGGGAAACGAUGUGGGAAGGCCCAGACAGCCAGGAUGUUGGCUUAGAAGCAGCCAUCAUUUAAAGAAAGCGUAAUAGCUCACUGGUCGAGUCGGCCUGCGCGGAAGAUGUAACGGGGCUAAACCAUGCACCGAAGCUGCGGCAGCGACGCUUAUGCGUUGUUGGGUAGGGGAGCGUUCUGUAAGCCUGUGAAGGUGUACUGUGAGGUAUGCUGGAGGUAUCAGAAGUGCGAAUGCUGACAUAAGUAACGAUAAAGCGGGUGAAAAGCCCGCUCGCCGGAAGACCAAGGGUUCCUGUCCAACGUUAAUCGGGGCAGGGUGAGUCGACCCCUAAGGCGAGGCCGAAAGGCGUAGUCGAUGGGAAACAGGUUAAUAUUCCUGUACUUGGUGUUACUGCGAAGGGGGGACGGAGAAGGCUAUGUUGGCCGGGCGACGGUUGUCCCGGUUUAAGCGUGUAGGCUGGUUUUCCAGGCAAAUCCGGAAAAUCAAGGCUGAGGCGUGAUGACGAGGCACUACGGUGCUGAAGCAACAAAUGCCCUGCUUCCAGGAAAAGCCUCUAAGCAUCAGGUAACAUCAAAUCGUACCCCAAACCGACACAGGUGGUCAGGUAGAGAAUACCAAGGCGCUUGAGAGAACUCGGGUGAAGGAACUAGGCAAAAUGGUGCCGUAACUUCGGGAGAAGGCACGCUGAUAUGUAGGUGAAGUCCCUCGCGGAUGGAGCUGAAAUCAGUCGAAGAUACCAGCUGGCUGCAACUGUUUAUUAAAAACACAGCACUGUGCAAACACGAAAGUGGACGUAUACGGUGUGACGCCUGCCCGGUGCCGGAAGGUUAAUUGAUGGGGUUAGCGCAAGCGAAGCUCUUGAUCGAAGCCCCGGUAAACGGCGGCCGUAACUAUAACGGUCCUAAGGUAGCGAAAUUCCUUGUCGGGUAAGUUCCGACCUGCACGAAUGGCGUAAUGAUGGCCAGGCUGUCUCCACCCGAGACUCAGUGAAAUUGAACUCGCUGUGAAGAUGCAGUGUACCCGCGGCAAGACGGAAAGACCCCGUGAACCUUUACUAUAGCUUGACACUGAACAUUGAGCCUUGAUGUGUAGGAUAGGUGGGAGGCUUUGAAGUGUGGACGCCAGUCUGCAUGGAGCCGACCUUGAAAUACCACCCUUUAAUGUUUGAUGUUCUAACGUUGACCCGUAAUCCGGGUUGCGGACAGUGUCUGGUGGGUAGUUUGACUGGGGCGGUCUCCUCCUAAAGAGUAACGGAGGAGCACGAAGGUUGGCUAAUCCUGGUCGGACAUCAGGAGGUUAGUGCAAUGGCAUAAGCCAGCUUGACUGCGAGCGUGACGGCGCGAGCAGGUGCGAAAGCAGGUCAUAGUGAUCCGGUGGUUCUGAAUGGAAGGGCCAUCGCUCAACGGAUAAAAGGUACUCCGGGGAUAACAGGCUGAUACCGCCCAAGAGUUCAUAUCGACGGCGGUGUUUGGCACCUCGAUGUCGGCUCAUCACAUCCUGGGGCUGAAGUAGGUCCCAAGGGUAUGGCUGUUCGCCAUUUAAAGUGGUACGCGAGCUGGGUUUAGAACGUCGUGAGACAGUUCGGUCCCUAUCUGCCGUGGGCGCUGGAGAACUGAGGGGGGCUGCUCCUAGUACGAGAGGACCGGAGUGGACGCAUCACUGGUGUUCGGGUUGUCAUGCCAAUGGCACUGCCCGGUAGCUAAAUGCGGAAGAGAUAAGUGCUGAAAGCAUCUAAGCACGAAACUUGCCCCGAGAUGAGUUCUCCCUGACUCCUUGAGAGUCCUGAAGGAACGUUGAAGACGACGACGUUGAUAGGCCGGGUGUGUAAGCGCAGCGAUGCGUUGAGCUAACCGGUACUAAUGAACCGUGAGGCUUAACCUUACAACGCCGAAG